rnacentral:rRNA from 1 species
GAUGAACGCUAGCGACAGGCUUAACACAUGCAAGUCGAGGGGCAGCAUGAGGUAGCAAUACCUUGAUGGCGACCGGCGCACGGGUGAGUAACGCGUAUGCAACCUGCCCGAUACCGGGGUAUAGCCCAUGGAAACGUGGAUUAACACCCCAUAGUACUUUUAUCCUGCAUGGGAUGUGAGUUAAAUGUUCAAGGUAUCGGAUGGGCAUGCGUCCUAUUAGUUAGUUGGCGGGGUAACAGCCCACCAAGACGAUGAUAGGUAGGGGUUCUGAGAGGAAGGUCCCCCACAUUGGAACUGAGACACGGUCCAAACUCCUACGGGAGGCAGCAGUGAGGAAUAUUGGUCAAUGGACGUAAGUCUGAACCAGCCAAGUCGCGUGAGGGAAGACUGCCCUAUGGGUUGUAAACCUCUUUUAAUAAGGGAAGAAUAAGUUCUACGUGUAGAAUGAUGCCUGUACCUUAUGAAUAAGCAUCGGCUAACUCCGUGCCAGCAGCCG